rnacentral:rRNA from 1 species
UACAGAGGUCUCAAGCGUUGUUCGGAUUCAUUGGGAGUAAAGGGUGCGUAGGCGGCGCGGUAAGUCGGGUGUGAAAUCUUGGAGCUUAACUCCGAAACUGCAUUCGAUACUGCCGUGCUUGAGGACUGGAGAGGAGACUGGAAUUUACGGUGUAGCGGUGAAAUGCGUAGAUAUCGUAAGGAAGACCAGUGGCGAAGGCGGGUCUCUGGACAGUUCCUGACGCUGAGGCACGAAGGUCAGGGGAGCAAACGGG